CAAGGAAAGAGUCUAAUGAAGGU
rnacentral:piRNA from 1 species